GCUUCCUUUUCCGCCUGGCUGCUGUUGGGCGAAGGCCCGCUGAGAGCUGUAGGCCAUGCGGACCCUGCGGCUCGGGCGGCAGCGCCUGCGGGCGGGUCGCCAGGCUUUUCAAGGUGGGAGUCCCCGCGGUCCUAGUUCCUUCUCUCCUUUUGUCGGGGACUCGACUCCCUGCCGGAGCCCAUGCCCGCUUCAGGACCUUGCGUCCGUUCCGCCUGGGGCCUCCAUUCCGGUGGUCUCCAUCCCUUACCCGGCUGCAGCCCAGCGGUCGGCACCGUCGCGUGGUCGGCCCAGGAGGCACCUUUCACUCCCACUUGACGCGGCCACGAGCUUUCUUCCGCGCCAUCUGCUCAGUCGCAUUUUGUGCAACAGAGCCUAGGAGUUGAAGAUGUCAUGAUGAAUGUCUUCCGAAAAUUAAACAAGAUGACUAAACCACUAGGAGCACAGCUGCAUGUAACAAGCAUAUAGGUGGCUGCAGAUGAAUGAUCAAGUCCAGCUGUGAUGUUUAAAAAUUCAUUGCCUCAGAGAUGUGGCAUGCAACAUUUUGGGAGGAAAAAUGAAUUGGUCAAGAAGAUGACGCAAAUGAUGAAAAUUUAUAUUUUAAUAAAAUCAAUAUUUAACAUUGA